GAUGAACGCUGGCGGCGUGCCUAAUACAUGCAAGUAGAACGCUGAAGGAAGGAGCUUGCUCUUUCCGGAUGAGUUGCGAACGGGUGAGUAACGCGUAGGUAACCUGCCUGGUAGCGGGGGAUAACUAUUGGAAACGAUAGCUAAUACCGCAUAACAGUAGAUGUUGCAUGAUAUCUACUUAAAAGGUGCAAUUGCACCACUACCAGAUGGACCUGCGUUGUAUUAGCUAGUUGGUGAGGUAACGGCUCACCAAGGCGACGAUACAUAGCCGACCUGAGAGGGUGAUCGGCCACACUGGGGCUGAGACACGGCCCAGACUCCUACGGGAGGCAGCAGUAGGGAAUCUUCGGCAAUGGACGGAAGUCUGACCGAGCAACGCCGCGUGAGUGAAGAAGGUUUUCGGAUCGUAAAGCUCUGUUGUAAGAGAAGAACGAGUGUGAGAGUGGAAAGUUCACACUGUGACGGUAUCUUACCAGAAAGGGACGGCUAACUACGUG
rnacentral:rRNA from 1 species